AACGAACGCUGGCGGCAUGCCUAACACAUGCAAGUCGAACGAGACCUUCGGGUCUAGUGGCGCACGGGUGCGUAACGCGUGGGAACCUGCCCUUAGGUUCGGAAUAACUCCCCGAAAGGGGUGCUAAUACCGGAUAAUGUCUUCGGACCAAAGAUUUAUCGCCUUUGGAUGGGCCCGCGUUGGAUUAGCUAGUUGGUAGGGUAAAAGCCUACCAAGGCGACGAUCCAUAGCUGGUCUGAGAGGAUGAUUAGCCACACUGGGACUGAGACACGGCCCAGACUCCUACGGGAGGCAGCAGUGGGGAAUAUUGGACAAUGGGCGAAAGCCUGAUUCAGCAAUGCCGCGUGAGUGAUGAAGGCCUUAGGGUUGUAAAGCUCUUUUACCCGGGAUGAUAAUGACAGUACCGGGAGAAUAAGCUCCGGCUAACUCCGUG
rnacentral:rRNA from 1 species